rnacentral:rRNA from 1 species
AACAAACGCUGGCGGCGUGCCUAAUACAUGCAAGUCGAACGGGGAAAGCUUUCGGGUGAGUACUAGUGGCGCACGGGUGAGUAACGCGUGGAUAAUCUGCCUUAGAGUGGGGGAUAACUAGUCGAAAGAUUAGCUAAUACCGCAUAAGACCACAAGAACUGCGGUUCAAGGGGUCAAAGGUUUUUCGCUCUAAGAUGAGUCCGCGUAAGAUUAGCUAGUUGGUGGGGUAACGGCCUACCAAGGCGACGAUCUUUAACUGGUCUGAGAGGAUGAUCAGUAACACUGGAGCGGAGACACGGUCCAGACUCCUGCGGGAGGCAGCAGUAGGGAAUAUUGCACAAUGGAGGAAACUCUGAUGCAGCGACGCCGCGUGAGUGAUGAAGGCCUUCGUGUCGUAAAGCUCUGUCGCAGGGGAAUAACACAAUGAAGGUACCCUGUAAGAAAGGAUCGGCUAACUUCGUGCCAGCCGCCGCCGUAAGAC